rnacentral:rRNA from 1 species
AUGUUAUUCUGUUGUCCGCCUACUACAGGACCUCAUGAUUCAUACAAUUUCAUUGUGAAUUGCCUGGAGAGGUUUCUGCAGUACAAGUACCGUGAUUUCUACAUUGCAGGAUGGAACUAUGGAGGUAAUUGCGACCAAAAUUGGUUUAUGUGCCACGGUCAUAUUUUACUCCUCCGCUGCUAUAACUACUUUGAGGAAGCCCAUCCUGAACUUGAAAGGCUUAUACAAUGUAUAAAAAAUAGGUACCUGAGUUGUAAUUGCUUUUACUAUACUCCAAAAAACAUCUUACAUUAUGGAAUGAAGGGAGUAUAUGUUUCUAGGUAUUCGGUUCAUGUAUGUAUUUCUCUGCUAUUUGCGUCUUACACAGACAUGCUAUCGGUGAUAUCGUACCAAAUAUUAGCCCAACAUAUCGACUAUGACUAG